rnacentral:rRNA from 1 species
CGAAAGCCUGACGGAGCAAGACCGCGUGAGGGAGGAAGGCUCUUGGGUUGUAAACCUCUUUUCUCAGGGAAGAAGCUCUGACGGUACCUGAGGAAUCAGCCUCGGCUAACUCCGUGCCAGCAGCCGCGGUAAUACGGAGGAGGCAAGCGUUAUCCGGAAUUAUUGGGCGUAAAGCGUCCGCAGGUGGCGAUUCAAGUCUGCUGUCAAAGCACGGGGCUUAACUCCGUAAAGGCAGUGGAAAUUGAAGAGCUAGAGUGCGGUAGGGGCAGUGGGAAUUCCCGGUGUAGCGUGGAAAUGCGUAGAUUUCGGGAAGAACACCGGUGGCGAAAGCGCUCUGCUGGGCCGCAACUGACACUCAGGGACGAAAGCUAGGGGAGCG